rfam:Salmo salar isolate Sally breed double haploid chromosome ssa11, whole genome shotgun sequence.
UGAAUGCACUAACUGUAAGUCGCUCUGGAUAAGAGCGUCUGCUAAAUGACUAAAA